GGACUGACACUGACACUGAGGUGCGAAAGCGUGGGUAGCAAACAGGAUUAGAUACCCUGGUAGUCCACGCCGUAAACGAUGUCGACCAGCCGUUGGGUGCCUAGCGCACUUUGUGGCGAAGUUAACGCGAUAAGUCGACCGCCUGGGGAGUACGGCCGCAAGGUUAAAACUCAAAUGAAUUGACGGGGGCCCGCACAAGCGGUGGAGCAUGUGGUUUAAUUCGAUGCAACGCGAAGAACCUUACCUACUCUUGACAUCCUGCGAACUUGUGAGAGAUCACUUGGUGCCUUCGGGAGCGCAGAGACAGGUGCUGCAUGGCUGUCGUCAGCUCGUGUUGUGAAAUGUUGGGUUAAGUCCCGUAACGAGCGCAACCCUUGUCCUUAUUUGCCAGCGGGUAAUGCCGGGAACUCUAAGGAGACUGCCGGUGACAAACCGGAGGAAGGUGGGGACGACGUCAAGUCAUCAUGGCCCUUACGAGUAGGGCUACACACGUGCUACAAUGGCCGGUACAAAGGGUUGCGAGCUCGCGAGAGUCAGCUAAUCCCGAAAAGCCGGUCUCAGUCCGGAUCGGAGUCUGCAACUCGACUCCGUGAAGUCGGAAUCGCUAGUAAUCGUGAAUCAGAAUGUCACGGUGAAUACGUUCCCGGGCCUUGUACACACCGCCCGU
rnacentral:rRNA from 1 species